UGGGGAAUCUUGCACAAUGGGGGCAACCCUGAUGCAGCGACGCCGCGUGAGCGAUGAAGCCCUUCGGGGCGUAAAGCUCUUUCGACCGGAACGAUAAUGACGGUACCGGGAGAAGAAGCUGCGGCUAACUACGUGCCAGCAGCCGCGGUAAUACGUAGGCAGCGAGCGUUGUUCGGAGUUACUGGGCGUAAAGAGUGCGUAGGCGGCGAGCCAAGUUUGGUGCGAAAUCUCCCGGCUUAACCGGGAGGGUGCGCCGAAAACUGGUUGGCUGGAGUAUGGGAGAGGAAAGCGGAAUUCCUGGUGUAGCGGUGAAAUGCGUAGAUAUCAGGAGGAACACCUGCGGUGUAGACAGCUUUCUGGACCAAAACUGACGCUGAGGCACGAAAGCGUGGGUAGCAAACA
rnacentral:rRNA from 1 species